rnacentral:tRNA from 1 species
GGUGAGGUGUUGAUCUAACCCUUUGAUUUAUAAGGCCUCUAGCGGCCUGCAAAGCCGUUUAGACGGGUUCGAUUCCCGUCCUCGCCUCCA